rnacentral:rRNA from 1 species
AACAGCCGCGGUAAUUCCAGCUCCAAUAGCGUAUAUUAAAGUUGUUGCAGUUAAAAAGCUCGUAGUUGAAUUUCGGGGUUAGUAGGUUGGUCGUGCCACUGGUAUGUACUGGCUUUACUGAUCCCUCCUUCUUGUAGAACCGUAAUGCCAUUAACUUGGUGUUGCGGGGAAACAGGACUGUUACUUUGAAAAAAUUAGAGUGUUUAAAGCAGGCUAACGCUUGAAUACAUUAGCAUGGAAUAAUGAAAUAGGACGCUCGAUCCUAUUUUGUUGGUUUCUAGGAUUGACGUAAUGAUUAAUAGGGAUAGUUGGGGGCAUUAGUAUUCAAUUGUCAGAGGUGAAAUUCUUGGAUUUAUUGAAGACUAACUACUGCGAAAGCAUUUGCCAAGGAUGUUUUCAUUAAUCAAGAACGAAAGUUAGGGGAUCGAAGACGAUCAGAUACCGUCGUAGUCUUAACCAUAAACUAUGCCGACUAGGGAUCGGAUGAUGUUAAUUUUUUAAUGACUCAUUCGGCGCCUUA